AUUGAACGCUGGCGGCAUGCCUUACACAUGCAAGUCGAACGGUAACGCGAGGCAACCUGGCGACGAGUGGCGAACGGGUGAGUAACGCGUCGGAACGUGCCCAAUAGUGGGGGAUAGCCCGGCGAAAGCCGGAUUAAUACCGCAUACGACCUAAGGGUGAAAGCGGGGGAUCGCAAGACCUCGCGCUAUUGGAGCGGCCGAUGUCAGAUUAGGUAGUUGGUGGGGUAAAGGCCUACCAAGCCGACGAUCUGUAGCUGGUCUGAGAGGACGACCAGCCACACUGGGACUGGGACGCGGCCCGGACUCCUACGGGAGGCAGCAGUGGGGAAUUUUGGACAAUGGGCGCAAGCCUGAUCCAGCCAUGCCGCGUGCGGGAAGAAGGCCUUCGGGUUGUAAACCGCUUUUGUCAGGGAAGAAAAGGCUCGAACUAAUACUUUGGGCUCAUGACGGUACCUGAAGAAUAAGCACCGGCUAACUACGUGCCAGCAGCCGCCGUAAAAC
rnacentral:rRNA from 1 species